AUUGAACGCUGGCGGCAGGCCUAACACAUGCAAGUCGAGCGGAUGAAGGGAGCUUGCUCCUGGAUUCAGCGGCGGACGGGUGAGUAAUGCCUAGGAAUCUGCCUGGUAGUGGGGGAUAACGUCCGGAAACGGGCGCUAAUACCGCAUACGUCCUGAGGGAGAAAGUGGGAGAUCUUCGGACCUCACGCUAUCAGAUGAGCCUAGGUCGGAUUAGCUAGUUGGUGGGGUAAAGGCCUACCAGGGCGACGAUCCGUAACUGGUCUGAGAGGAUGAUCAGUCACACUGGAACUGAGACACGGUCCAGACUCCUACGGGAGGCAGCAGUGGGGAAUAUUGGACAAUGGGCGAAAGCCUGAUCCAGCCAUGCCGCGUGUGUGAAGAAGGUCUUCGGAUUGUAAAGCACUUUAAGUUGGGAGGAAGGGCAGUAAGUUAAUACCUUGCUGUUUUGACGUUACCAACAGAAUAAGCACCGGCUAACUUCGUG
rnacentral:rRNA from 1 species